rnacentral:tRNA from 5 species
GCUCCCAUAGCUCAGCUGGAUAGAGCAACGGCCUUCUAAGCCGUAGGUCGCAGGUUCGAAUCCUGCUGGGGGCGCCA